GGAGCAGGCGGCCGCAAGGGUCUGUGGUGAAAGACCGAAGCUAAACUUCGGUAAGCCAUGGAAACCGGGCGGCUAGAGUGCGGAAGAGGAUCGUGGAAUUCCAUGUGUAGCGGUGAAAUGCGUAGAUAUAUGGAGGAACACCAGUGGCGAAGGCGACGGUCUGGGCCGCAACUGACGCUCAUUCCCGAAAGCGUGGGAGCAAAUA
rnacentral:rRNA from 1 species